UCGUAGGAAAAGAAAAUACUGCUGUAUGUGCAAUAAUUAUCGGGGACAAGUUGUUUCUGGAAGGAAAGUUACCCUGCAUAGGUUUCCGUUAGACGAAAACAAGAGGAAGACGUGGAUUGAUGUCUGUCAAAAUGCAUUAGAGUCAUUCCAGUAUUCGGCUAACCGACUUCUGUGCUCGGAACAUUUUGUUGAUGGGAAUGUCCCCACAAAAGGCCCCACAAAAGGUCAACACCCGUGUCCUGUCUUUGGCGAAAGAUUUACAAAACAAAUGUUGAAGAAGCGACAAGAUGUGUUUUCAGGAUCUCGGCGUUGUGAGCCCAACCCUAGCAACAUGUUCAGCUGCAACUCUGGUGGUGCUGAAGAUGAACACAGUGAUCAUAAUUAUGCUUGCAGUUACGUUCUUAGAUGUAUGAAUGAGGAAGCUAGCGGAAACUAUGGACAAACAUCAGAAAGAUGGAAUGAUCAUUGUGUGGGUUAUAAAAUGACUAAGUACGACAUGACCGAUCAUGAUUUCCAUGGCGAUGUUAGUAUUAAUGAAAUCAGCGGUAUGAAGGAAGGCAGUGGUGGAGAGGAAACUGGUCGAGGUUCCAGUGGUAAUGAUUGUACAAAUCUAGCUGGCAGUGACAAUGUGAAUGAUCAUCUUACAAGUCCUGCUGGCAGUCGCAGCGUGAACACUGAUCUUACAAGUCCUGCUGGCAUGCCUGGCAGUCGCA